UACGGAGGGUGCAAGCGUUGUCCGGAUUUAUUGGGUUUAAAGGGUGCGUAGGCGGAUAUGUAAGUCCGUGGUGAAAUCUCUGGGCUUAACCCGGAAACUGCCAUGGAUACUAUGUGUCUUGAAUGUUGUUGAGGUGAGCGGAAUAUGUCAUGUAGCGGUGAAAUGCUUAGAUAUGACAUAGAACACCAAUUGCGAAGGCAGCUCACUAAGCAAAUAUUGACGCUGAGGCACGAAAGCGUGGGGAUCAAACAGG
rnacentral:rRNA from 1 species